UGAUAUGUAGCCCAGAAGGUAGAGCAUCCGCCUAGCAGGCAUGAAGCCCUGGGUUCAAUUCCCAGCACUGCAG
rnacentral:tRNA from 1 species